UACGUAGGCAGCAAGCGUUGUUCGGAGUUACUGGGCGUAAAGAGUGCGUAGGCGGUGGCCCAAGUCUGGUGUGAAAUCUCCCCGGCUCAACUGGGAGGGUGCGCCGGAAACUGGGUCGCUUGAGUACUGGAGAGGCAAGCGGAAUUCCUGGUGUAGCGGUGGAAUGCGCAGAUAUCAGGAGGAACACCAAUAGCGAAGGCAGCUCGCUGGGACGAAACUGACGCUAAGGCGCGAAAAGCGUGGGGAGCGAACAGG
rnacentral:rRNA from 1 species